AACGCUAGCGGCAGGCCUAACACAUGCAAGUCGAGGGAGAGGUUACCUUCGGGUAACUGAAACCGGCGCACGGGUGCGUAACGCGUAUACAAUCUGCCUUUCACAUAGGGAUAGCCCGAAGAAAUCUGGAUUAAUACCUAAUGGUAUAUAAGAGCGGCAUCGUUUUUAUAUUAAAGCUACGGUGGUGAAAGAUGAGUAUGCGUUCUAUUAGCUAGUUGGAGAGGUAACGGCUCCCCAAGGCGACGAUAGAUAGGGGUUCUGAGAGGGAUGUCCCCCACACUGGUACUGAGAUACGGACCAGACUCCUACGGGAGGCAGCAGUGAGGAAUAUUGGACAAUGGUCGGAAGACUGAUCCAGCCAUGCCGCGUGCAGGAUGAAGGUCCUAUGGAUUGUAAACUGCUUUUGUAAGGGAAGAAUAAGGGGUACGUGUACUUUGAUGACGGUACCUUACGAAUAAGCAUCGGCUAACUCCGUGCCAGCAGCCGCGGUAAUACGGAGGAUGCGAGCGUUAUCCGGAAUCAUUGGGUUUAAAGGGUCCGUAGGCGGGCUGAUAAGUCAGAGGUGAAAGCGCUUAGCUCAACUAAGCAACUGCCUUUGAAACUGUCAGUCUUGAAUGAUUGUGAAGUAGUUGGAAUGUGUAGUGUAGCGGUGAAAUGCUUAGAUAUUACACAGAACACCGAUAGCGAAGGCAUAUUACUAACAAUUUAUUGACGCUGAUGGACGAAAGCGUGGGGAGCGAACAGGAUUAGAUACCCUGGUAGUCCACGCUGUAAACGAUGGAUACUAGCUGUUUGGAGCAAUCUGAGUGGCUAAGCGAAAGUGAUAAGUAUCCCACCUGGGGAGUACGCA
rnacentral:rRNA from 1 species